AGCAGCCGCGGUAAUUCCAGCUCCAAUAGCGUAUAUUAAAGUUGUUGCAGUUAAAAAGCUCGUAGUUGAAUUUCGGGAUCAAUGUUUCGGUCAUGCCCUUGGUAUGUACUGAUAUUAUUGGUUUCUCACCUUCUAAAGAACCGUAAUGCCAUUAAUUUGGUGUCACGGGGAAUUAGGACUGUUACCUUGAAAAAAUUAGAGUGUUUAAAGCAGGCUCACGCUUGAAUACAUUAGCAUGGAAUAAUGAAAUAGGACAUCCGAUUCUAUUUUGUUGGUUUCUAGGAUCGAUGUAAUGACUAAUAGGGAUAGUUGGGGGCACUAGUAUUCAAUUGUCAGAGGUGAAAUUCUUGGAUUUAUUGAAGACUAACUACUGCGAAAGCAUUUGCCAAGGAUGUUUUCAUUAAUCAAGAACGAAAGUUAGGGGAUCGAAGACGAUCAGAUACCGUCGUAGUCUUAACCAUAAACUAUGCCGACUAGGGAUCGGAUGAUGUUAAUUUUUUAAUGACUCA
rnacentral:rRNA from 1 species